GGGCCCGCACAAGCGGUGGAGCAUGUGGUUUAAUUCGAUGCAACGCGAAGAACCUUACCUACCCUUGACAUCCUCGGAAUCUGCCGGAGACGGCGGAGUGCCUUCGGGAACCGAGUGACAGGUGCUGCAUGGCUGUCGUCAGCUCGUGUUGUGAAAUGUUGGGUUAAGUCCCGUAACGAGCGCAACCCCUGUCCCUAUUUGCCAGCGAUUCGGUCGGGAACUCUAGGGAGACUGCCGGUGACAAACCGGAGGAAGGUGGGGACGACGUCAAGUCAUCAUGGCCCUUACGGGUAGGGCUACACACGUGCUACAAUGGCAGGUACAAAGGGUUGCAAGACGGCGACGUGGAGCUAAUCCCAUAAAGCCUGCCUCAGUCCGGAUCGGAGUCUGCAACUCGACUCCGUGAAGUCGGAAUCGCUAGUAAUCGU
rnacentral:rRNA from 1 species